AGCGAUCCUCCUGCCUGAGCCUCUUGAGUGCUGAGAUUACAGAAGACGUUUAUCUGAACUCAUCCCGUAAGUCUUGGGGGAAUCUUAUCGAGACAAAGAAAGAGAAGGUAUCAGGAAUACUGUGAAUCAGAGAUCUUUGCUUCUGUAUGCAACAAGCUUUUCCUGAUGAUCCUGCAGACACCUGCACACGAAGGGAUCGCAUCUGCUUUGUUUUCUCCACGACACAGUGUUGUCUGGUCUCCUUUCUUUUGACCGCGCAGCGGUGCCUUCUGCUGCAGACCCAAGGGGCAGCAGGCCCUUCCGCUGGAGGAGACAGUCUGAAGACGUGGAGCCCCGGGGAGGCGUCCAGGCUGGGCAGGCAGCGUCUCCGGAGUGGAAUCAGAGACCCCAGGGAGCUCCUCGCCCCUUCCACCACUGAGGAUAGAGCCAGAAGGUGAUCCACGGUCCAGGAGCCUUCACCAACACUGUGCCUGCCAGAACCUUGACCCUGGACCUCCAGCCCCUCGGCCCUUGUCCAUAAGCCACUCUGGCUGCAGCAGUUAGAGCAGCCUGGGCCGAGGUACUUUCUUUCCCCUUCUGUUUCUCUAAUGCAAGGUCAGCCCUUGAAUACAAGACCUCAGCUUCUCCAUGGUCCUAUAAAUUCCUGGCUGGGGAAGCUCAGUGCUGACAGCUCUGGGGAACUUACUUAACUCUUAACUCUUAAGACUUUAUCUUUAUUUCUUUUUCCUCCUUCUCUUUUCUCUC